rnacentral:lncRNA from 1 species
GGAAUGGAGGAUCCUGCCCCCACAUGACUGGUGUCCUCAUCAGAAGCAGAAACUGGAGGACAGCUCUUGGUCUUGGGGGGGCCCGGGACAGACUCCUCCUCCCCCUCUUGGUCUUGGGGGGCCCAGGACAGACUCCUCCUCCCCCUCUUGGUCUUGGGGGGGCCCGGGACAGACUCCUCCUCCCCCUCUUGGUCUUGGGGGGGUCCUGGGACAGACUCCUCCUCCACCUUCUUAGUCUUGAACUUCGAGCCUCCAGAUCCAUGAAGAAGGGGAUCUCUGGUGUGAGGCCCUGUGUUAUGGCAGCCCAGGACACUAACACACUAAGGGGAAUGGCCUUUAA